rnacentral:rRNA from 1 species
GUGCCAGCAGCCGCGGUAAGACGAAGGGGGCAAGCGUUGCUCGGAAUCACUGGGCUUAAAGGGCGCGUAGGCGGUUGUGUAAGUCCAGGGUUGAAGGCCCCGGCUCAACCGGGGAAAGGCCUUGGAGACUGCAUGACUUGAGUGAGCGAGGGGAGGGCGGAAUUCCUGGUGUAGCGGUGAAAUGCGUAGAUAUCAGGAGGAAGGCCUGUGGCGAAGGCGGCCCUCUGGCGCUCAACUGACGCUGAGGCGCGAAAGCGUGGGUAGCAAACAGGAUUAGAUACCCUGGUAGUCCACGCCGUAAACGAUGGAUGCUCGGUGUUGCCCCGCCUUUAGGGGCAGUGCCUAAGCUAACGCGUUAAGCAUCCCACCUGGGGAGUACGCUCGCAAGAGUGAAACUUAAAUGAAUUGGCGGGG